ACCACUCCCACUAUUGAAACUUAUAUUGGCCAGAGUUCUUGGUGUGCUUUUUUUCUUGGUAUAUUUAAUAACAAGAACUCCAACUUAUUUAACGAGAGUUACAGUUGGGCAAAAUGCUUUUGUACUCAUAUCCUGCUUGAAGGCUUCCCACAGGCAUCUGGUUGACCACUGUGAGAACAGCAUGCUGGACUAGAUGUAAGUUUGACUGCAGAACAUCAAAAGCUUUUGUUGGACUGGGAAUGGGAAACCUGGGGCCCAGGGGCCAAAUUCAACUCUCGAAGCUUCUCUGUCUGGCCCUUGGAACUCACUCCAGGCCACACCUUCGCUCCCUUGCUCACACUCCUCCCUGCCUUCACAUCUUGACUGCAUUCUUCUUUGCUGGCCUGUGUCCUUGAACUCUGAUUCUGUCUGUUGUUUGCCUGGAUGGAGGAUAGAGAGGGGUGUGUGAAUAUCUGUCAAAUCUAGCCUAUUGUACAAAUGCAGUGUUUUUUCUCUUAAAAAAUGUUUAGGGGUACUCUCAUUUUGACUCAAAAAACCCACCAUUUUAUAGUUCAAAUUGGGAAAAAUAAAUACAGCAAAUGGACAAAAGUACAAAGAACAUGCAUUAUCACACAACACCGUUGUCCCAUCUUUUGUUUUUACAUAGUCAUCAUUAACUUUACACUUCUUUGCUGGCUGUGAUGAUGAAAAAUGGUUAGUAAUUUUCCUACUCAUAUUGAAAUACUGCCCCUCAAUGAGGCCAAACUUUCAUUAGUAAAAAACCGCACAUCCACAUUCCACACUGCUUCACACAUCAAACGCUCACUUCUGUCUGAAACUCAGGAAACACCGUGACAGGAAAUGAGGCCGCCAUUGGGAUUAGCAACAGAACUGACGAUUCACUGUGUUAUUCAAUGGAACUGACUAUUCACCAUGCUAGAGAAGAAACUAUAUAUAUAUAUACAUAUAUAUUAGUUUCUUCACCCAUUAGGAUUCACAAAAUGUUUAGGGGUAUGCAUAUUCCUGCAUCCCUCCAAAAAAAAGCACUGUACAAAGGUAACAUUUGCAUUUGUUGCUCCACCUCCUUUUGCAUGGCAUGUGGCCCUCAGAAGGUUGCCCAAGAUGGGAAUGUGGCCCUUGGGCUGAAUUGUUUUCUUCUCAACCUCAGAACGUAGGGAAUAAAUUACCCUACGAGCCUUUACCUGAGAGACGUUUACAGCUGCCAUCCCAGCAUUAGCAGAAGAGUACCUGACAGAGGAACAGGUGAGUGAGUUAUUCCCUCCUCUUAUACCUCCUCUCCUGUAUACCUGAAGGACCAUCUCCACCCCCAUCAUUCAGCCCGGAUACUGAGAUCCAUCACCGAGGGCCUUCUGGCAGUUCCCUCACUACGAGAAUGAGGUUACAGGGAACUAGGCAGAGGGCCUUCUUGGUAGUGGCGCCUGCCCUGUGGAACGCCCUCCCAGCAGAUAUCAAGGCAAUAAACAACUAUUUUACUUUUAAAAGUAGCCUGAAGGCGGCCCUGUUUAUGGAAGUUUUUAAUGUCUGACACUGUAUUGUUUUUGAUAUUUGGUUGGAAGCCGCCCAGAGUGGCUGGGGAGACCCAGUCAGAUGGGCGGGGUAUAAAUAUAUUAAUAUUAUUAUUAUUAUUAUUAUUAUUAUUAUUAUUAUUAUUAUUAUUAUUAUUAGAUGUGCACGGAGCUCACUUGCACCUGCCUCCUCCUGCCACUGGGAAGUAAAACAUUCUGAAGCCACAGCUUCCUCGGGCAAGGCUGUAAGUAACUGUGGCAAAACAGCUUUCAAAUUGCUGCUAUGCAAGCUACACACACACACACACACACACAGAGAGAGAGAGAGAGAGAGAGAGAGAGAAGCACACACACAUACAUCAACCUACACUGAGCUGCUUAGAAACACUGUGCAUUGGAAAGGAGACCAAUGUGCUUUUUAAGCUCACGAUGCAUGUAAUUGCAACCAUAGUGAUAACAGUGAUUUUAACAUUCAAAACUGCAUCAUUUUUUAAAAAAAGUCACAUGCUGAGCUUCACCAACAUACAUCCCAAACUUUAGCGGUGCUGGUUUUCAAUAAGCUGGAAAUAAAAGGAUUUUUUCUCGAUUCCUAUUUCUUGUGCUGGUCUCACUCACCUCUCUCCAUUUUGAAGUUUUCUUUGCUUCUUAACUCCGGAGUCUUUCUUGAUAAAACCUUGUGAUACACCUUGGGAGAGUUGCUGGCAGUGCUGAGUCUCCCUCCCCAUCUCCCCCACCCUGUCAUGGCACAGCCAGCCUUAGUCAUUAUUCUUUGCAGUCUGUCAACAUGUUCACAUAUCCUGAGUCCUCAUAUCUUUCCCCAACUGGCUAUCUUCAUUCCUCUAUUUCUAGUCUCGCAGCCUUCAUGAACUAAUGACUACCAUCUCAGCAGAACUCUUCGCUGAUGGGCUUGUUCCCUUCUUUUCAAAGAGUUCCAGGCUGUGAUCACUGUCAUUUCUUAGCUCCAGUCCUCUGCCCUUACAUGCUAACACCAGGAGUCUGACAGCCGCAGAAGUGACAGUCAUUGAAAUGGGUGAAAUGCCAUGGGCCAACUGGAAAUCCAGGGAAUGUGGUCAUGGCUCCAAGGACCUAGGAAAGGCUUUCCAGGUUAUGGGCAGAAAUGAAGAGUCUUAGUCAUCUGGAUGCACUAUUUAUUAAAAUCCCCAAAGGACUAUCACACAGAAGAGGGCCAAGACUUGUUCUUUGUUGCUCAAGAGGGCAAAAGACUAGAUUGAAUGAGCUAAAGUUAUUAGAGGGUAGUUUUCAACUGAGCAUUAGCAGAAAUGUCCUGCUGGUCAAAGCAAUUCAACAACAGAAGCAAUUAACCUAGAGGGCUCUCUGUGUGUCAGACCUUCCAAGUGUCCCUAUUUUCCAGGGACGUCCCCAAUUUACAGAAGCUGUCCUGGUUUUCUGAUUUGAUCCCAGAAUGUCCCACUUUUCCUUAGGACGUCACUAUUUGCAUUGGAGAAAUAUCAAAGGGUAUGGAGUUAUCCAACCACUAAGCCAUCUGAAGACAGCCCUGUAUGGGGAAGGUUUUUUUAAAAAAAUGUUUUAUGUUUUAUAUAUGUUGGAAGCCACCCAGAGUGGCAACCCAGUCAGAUGGCUGGGUUAUAAAUAGUAAAGUUCCUUUUAAUGUUAUUAUUAUGGAAUAGGAUGCCCCUAUUUUCAUCAGAGAAAUGUUGGAGGGUAUGGUGUGUGUGUUUGUGUGGACUGCCCUUCACUGGAGGUCUGCAGUGGUUGGGCGUAAUGUAGCACUGGAUAUCCUGUACUAAGCAGGGAAUCAAAAGAAAUUAUUUACAACUCUAGGAUUCUAUUUCUGUUUCUAUUAUUUCUAUUUCUUCUAGCCAAUCUCAAGGCUUUAAAGGUAGCCUGCUUCCAUCAUAACAUCAUUUGCUUUAGUUUGAGCUUCUGAUUUCCUGUGCAAAUUGAAGACAUGGGGGUUCUGGUCUGGAUCAGGACCUGUGAGUGUUCAUGUGAAGAUUAAAGCUCCAAGUCCCUAACUGAUGCAUACUGACAAUUUGUAUAAAAUAAGAGGUGAAAAAGGUAAAGGACCCCUGGAUGGUUAAGACCAGUGAAAGGUGACUAUGGGGUUGCAGCGCUCAUCUCACUUUCAGGCUGAGGGAGCUGGUGUAUGUCCACAGACAGCUUUCCCUGGUCAUGUGGCCAGCAUGACUAAACUGCUUCUGGUGCAACGGAACACCAUGAUGGAAACCAGAGCACACGGAAAUGCCGUUUACCUUCCCACCGCAGCGGUGCCUAUUUAUCUACUUGCACUGGCGUGCUUUCAAACUGCUAUGUUGGCAGGAGCUGCACAGAGCAACGGGAGAUCACUCCAUUGCAGGGAUUCAAACCACCGACCUUCGAAAAGUGGAAAAGAAACUGCUGGACAAACAAUUCGGAUUGGAAUACAAAAGAGGGCGGUAUGAGGAAGUCCAGAAAAUAAGUAAUUUAAAAAUGGAAAUGGAAAAGAGAUAUUGUUUUUAAUUGUUAUGGGUUUUUUUUAUGGUUGAAUUUUGUUUUGUUUUUUGUGUGUGUUGUUAUAUGUAUUGCGUAUGUUUUUCUUUUCUUUCUUUGUUGUUUAAAACCUUAAUAAAUUUAAAAAAAAAAAAAACCACCGACCUUCGGAUCUGCAAGCCCAAGAGGCUCAGUGGUUUAGACCGUCUGUAUAAAAUACCUUGUACUUAAAGGCAUAGCUAUGUAGCUAAUGUAAUGUGUAGUUUGGCCCUCACAGUAAAAUAAGGUUCACAUAUUGUUUUGGGGAACUGUAAGUAGGUUUUCUUUAAUACCCAGUUUCCCUUAUAUACCUAACCAGAAGCUCAUUCAGGAUCCUUGGAGAGCUUUGGAGAUGUGAUUCUAUUUUUGCUUGGUAAUUAUUAUGGAUCCUUUUGGGAAUCAUCUUCCCUUGCCCAUCAUCCCAAAUGCUAGUACAGCAGGAUGUACAGAGUUUGGAAAGUCUGCAAGGAGGCAACUGGAAGUGCCUCCACUUAACACUCCAAUAACUGGAAGUGCCUCCACUAAACACGAACCCUACCAAUCUGUUUUGUUUUUUUCAGGUUUCAUCAUGUGAGAGUAAUUACCAAGACCGCUGAAUUGUCACGAGGCAGAAUAAAAUAAAGAUUACAAAGAACUUUGCUCACUAAGAAGCAGCUCCAUAAAUGAUAAUAAAGCUCUCAGAAGCAAAUAAACAAUUGAACUGAAACUGCAGAGAGGUAUGAAAAUGCCAGCUACAUAUUGAUGUCCUAAUUGACUUACGGGACAAAGGUCUGGAUUUGAACCCAGUGAAAUAAAUACCCUUAAACUAGAAUUAUUUGGGUGUAAAGCCAAAGGAAUAAUGUGGAGAGGCU